rnacentral:rRNA from 1 species
GACGAACGCUGGCGGCGUGCUUAACACAUGCAAGUCGAACGGAAAGGCCCUGCUUUUGUGGGGUGCUCGAGUGGCGAACGGGUGAGUAACACGGGAGUAACCUGCCCUUGACUUUGGGAUAACUUCAGGAAACUGGGGCUAAUACCGGAUAGGAGCUCCUGCUGCAUGGUGGGGGUUGGAAAGUUUCGGCGGUUGGGGAUGGACUCGCGGCUUAUCAGCUUGUUGGUGGGGGAGUGGCUUACCAAGGCUUUGACGGGUAGCCGGCCUGAGAGGGUGACCGGCCACAUGGGGACUGAGAGACGGCCCAGACUCCUACGGGAGGCAGCAGUGGGGAAUAUUGCACAAUGGGCGGAAGCCUGAUGCAGCAACGCCGCGUGCGGGAUGACGGCCUUCGGGUUGUAAACCGCUUUCGCCUGUGACGAAGCGUGAGUGACGGUAAUGGGUAAAGAAGCACCGGCUAACUACGUG